ensembl:lncRNA
AAAAAAAAAAAUGGUGAUGGGCAGAGUACGUGCAACGUCUUACAUAAGACGUGCCAUAUCACAACCAAUAAAGAAAAAUAUAGCACAAAUGCAAAAUAGAUUGGGAACAAGUGGGUUGAAUGAUACAAAUUUAAUAAGAAAUAAAAAUUUACAUUUACAAUUAUUAUGUAACAAUAAAACACCUAAUCAUUUAAUAGACGAACAAUUUGAUGAAUCUUUAUCUUUUGGUGAUGAAAAUAGGUUUGUUAUGCCAAGAAAAACCGAUUUAAUAGGACUAUAUAACAUACUAAAUAACAAGUUUAAUGUUUUGUUAAUAUUUGUGCCUAUUGGAAUAUUAAGUUAUAUCUUAGGUUGUAAACCAAUAUAUAUAUUUGUAUUAAAUUUUUUGGCAUUAAUACCAUUAUCAGCACUCAUGGGACACGUAACAGAAGAUAUAGCUUUACACACAGGUGAAAUACUAGGUGGGCUACUGAAUGCUACUUUUGGCAACCUAAUGGAAAUGAUUUUUUCUAUUCAAGCAUUAAAUGCAGGUCUAAUUAAUGUAGUACAGGGGACAUUAUUAGGUAGCAUUUUAUCAAAUUUAUUAUUAGUGCUGGGUAUGUCAUUUUUUGCAGGAGGUCUAUAUCAUCAUAUACAAAAAUUUAAUGAAAAAGGUGCCACUAGUAGUACAUCAUUAUUAUUAUUAUCUAGUUUAGCUAUCACCAUACCAACUGUAUCAUCUGUUACAGCUAACAAAAAUAUGGAAAUACUUUUAAAAGUGUCUAGAAUAACAGCGGUUCUUAUUUUUUUAACAUAUUGUUUAUUUUUAUUGUUUCAAUUAUAUACACACAUAUCUUUAUUUCAAGACAAAGAAAUGACAGAAGAAUACCCACAACUAUCUGUUAUAACGGGUUCUGUUUUUCUUAUUUUAAUUACUUUAUUAGUGAGUGUACAUUCAGAAUACCUCGUCAACACUAUAGAAUCAGUUGUCAAAUAUUAUAACAUAUCCGAAAAUUUUAUCGGUGUUAUUCUGUUACCAAUAGUUGGAAAUGCAACAGAACACUUAACUGCAGUAACAGUUGCAAUCAAAAAUAAAGUAGAUUUAACUAUGGGUGUAGCU